CUUUCUUUAGCCUAUUUUUUGUCUAAGUCCAUAUUUAUUUGAAUCUAAGACAAUGUUUGAGUUUUUCUGAACUUGAAGCCAGAUAGUUAUUUGUUAGCAAAAGCUUUGAGUUCUGUCUCAGACAUAGGGACUGAACGGUAAAGUUGUAACUGGUCUAAAUGCACUCUUUAGUACUAGUAUGUACCAUUUUUUUUAUUGGCAGAGUGUGAUGACUACAAUCAAAGAGCCAUAAGCCUGUAUGUAUUGGGAACAGGUUGUACCUAGCAAAGGCAUUCUGCCCAGCAAGGAGCAGAUCCCGUGUAUCUAGUGGAACAAUACGUCCAGCAAAAAUGUCAUUUCCAGAGAAGAAUAGGCCAAGAAAGAGCUACAGCAUAAUAUCACUGGAAAAAAAAAAUCAGGCAUCCUCCAGUAUGACAGAUGUGAAAAAAAAAGUGUACCUUGCUCCACAGCUGCACAGGAAUGAGAAGAAUUUCACAGGAAUAAUGAAGUGGAGGAAUUCCAUGUGAACUGGAACGACCUCCAGGAAUUGAUGCAGAGUGAAAGGAGCAGAACCAGAACGAUGGACACAAAGACUGAAACAUUAUGGUACAAUUAAAUGCAACAGAAUUUUCUACUAAUGGCAAUGCAAUAAUCCGGGACAAUUCUGAAGGACUUGUGGGAAAGAACACUAUCCACAUCCAGAGAAAGAACUGUGGGAGUAGAAACACAGAAGAAAAAUAAAUGCUUUGUCACGUGAAUUGAUGGGGACAUGAUUGUGGAUGUAGACUCUAAGUGAUCACCCUAGUGCAAAUAUUGAUACUAUGGAAAUAGGUCUUGAUCAAUGACACAUCUAAA